rnacentral:rRNA from 1 species
UACGGAGGAUGCAAGCGUUAUCCGGAAUGAUUGGGCGUAAAGCGUCCGCAGGUGGCGAUGUAAGUCUGCUGUUAAAGCGUCUAGCUCAACUAGAUAAGAGCAGUGGAAACUACAUAGCUAGAGUACGUUCGGGGCAGAGGGAAUUCCUGGUGUAGCGGUGAAAUGCGUAGAGAUCAGGAAGAACACCGGUGGCGAAGGCGCUCUGCUAGGCCGCAACUGACACUGAGGGACGAAAGCUAGGGGAGCGAAUGGG